rnacentral:rRNA from 1 species
UGGGGAAUAUUGGACAAUGGGCGCAAGCCUGAUCCAGCCAUGCCGCGUGAGUGAUGAAGGCCUUAGGGUUGUAAAGCUCUUUCAGUGGGGACGAUAAUGACGGUACCCACAGAAGAAGCCCCGGCUACCUUCGUGCCAGCAGCCGCGGUAAUACGAAGGGGGCUAGCGUUGUUCGGAUUUACUGGGCGUAAAGCGCACGUAGGCGGAUCGUUAAGUCGGGGGUGAAAUCCCGGGGCUCAACCCCGGAACUGCCUUCGAUACUGGCGAUCUUGAGUCCGGAAGAGGUGAGUGGAACUCCUAGUGUAGAGGUGGAAUUCGUAGAUAUUAGGAAGAACACCAGUGGCGAAGGCGGCUCACUGGUCCGGUACUGACGCUGAGGUGCGAAAGCGUGGGGAGCAAAC